rnacentral:lncRNA from 1 species
CGUGAUCACUAAACUGAUGUUGCCCACAGAGGGGACUUACACCUACGUGGCUCGUAGUUCUGGGACUAUAUGGGUACGCUGAAACCCUAGUCCAACUCGGUAUUAUGCUACUCCCAAUGAAUUAAGUAGUUAACUGGUUAUGACUGAAUUUCUGUAAAUACUGGAUAGCUCGAAACUGAACAUGCAAACUGAGAAUGCAACAAUUAAUCUGAUAAUGAUGCAUUCAUAAACUGAGGCAUGUAUAACUGAAUACUGAAAUAUCUGACCUAGCAUGUGUAAUUCAAG